UUUAAACUAAGAGUAACAUAUCAUAAGGAUAAUAAGCUUUAUAUUUCUGCCGAAAAAAUGAAAUUAUUCACAUGUAUCUUUUUUCUGUUUUGCAUAGCUGCAACAGCUUCUGCGCAAAUUAGACCAUGUCAAAUGAUGUCAAUCCGAUUAAGAGUGCCACAAAGAGUGUGCCAAAGGUCUUGUAUACCGUUGAGAGGGCAAACUGUGUUUUGUGUUUUGGCAAAAGCUGGUCAAAUCAUUUCUCUGUGUCCGCAACCUUGCUGUCGGAUGGGCAAUUCCUGCCGUAUUGCGGGUGGAGUAGGAAAAUAAAAAACUUAAAAAGAAUAUAUUUAUAACAAAAAAGUUA